GAAUAAUAUAAAUACCUACGGUUCCUGAUGCAAAUUGUUCCCGGUUUUGCUGUUGGUCAAGAAAGGUGCAACGCUGUUGGUCAGCGCGCCGGGUUUCCUUCGCGUCACCUCCCGCAGACGGCGACGCGACGCCGUCUGCGGGACAUUGUACUUCUUCAGUAGUUUUGAAUGUCCAUGAGUUUAGGUGAUAGGAAACUAAUGGCCAUUCAAAACUACUUAAGAAGUACAAUGUUUCAAGUCAGGAAACCAAGACGGGAUGAAGGACAGAUAAUCACUAAAUCAGAGUGUGGCAGAAACCAAGUGCAACUUGAUAUAGGAAGGCAUCUCCACAAUAAAAAAAAAGGAUCAACCUCUCUUCCGAGAUGCUGCUUAACUUACAACGACGAAGAAAAAGAGCUUGUUAUCUAAAGAACAAUUCUCGGAGUAAUUUACCUCCGAUUCUAUUUCUCAGGUAUAGUUUGGGAUAGCAUAUUCGAUUCCUUUCGAUCUCUAUCUUUAAUUCAAACCUAUACUCACAUCUCGGACUCCUCUU
rnacentral:lncRNA from 1 species